AUUCUUUUAGUAUAACUAGUACCGCUGACUUCCAAUCAGCCAGUCCCAGCAUAAACCUGGGAAAGAAUA
rnacentral:tRNA from 1 species